GCAACCCGCCUGCGUGAAGUCGGAAUCGCUAGUAAUCGCGGAUCAGCAUGCCGCGGUGAAUACGUUCCCGGGCCUUGUACACACCGCCCGUCACACCAUGAGAGUCGGGAACACCCGAAGCCCGUAGCCUAACUUGCAAGAGAGGGCGCGGUCGAAGGUGGGUUCGAUAAUUGGGGUGAAGUCGUAACAAGGUACC
rnacentral:rRNA from 1 species